UUUGGCGACAUCCCAGCCUCUGGAGCCAGAGCCAGAGCAGAACCGGCAUGUCUUUCUCAACGUUACCAUCCAAUUACUCCCCUUGUCUCUGGGAUGAAGACAUCUGCGCACAGAAAUAGUCAGCAGCAGACCUAAACUCUUGGGAUUUGCGGAAGUGGUGAAGGAAACCUGCAGGGAGAAGCCAUGCCAAAAGGAGGGCAGAGCAGAAAGACUGAAGGAGCCGUGAACAUUGGUGGUGUGGUGCAGCCAUCAUAAUGGCCCUAUUCUUGAUGGAUUUAUUUCCCAUGAAGGAAACAGAAAUCCCUCUGAGGUUGAAGCCACUGUCAUUCAGAAUUACAACUGAAGCAAUGACUCUAUCAUGGCGUGGUAGGAAAUGGUUGUAUUUUGGGUUUUCAUCUACUUGGCUGAAGAAUGGGCAGGUUUGAUCCAAGAUCACCUUGAUUAUCUCCACUGCCAAAAAAUACUUGCAAGUCAGGCAUUAAUAAGAAGAUAGUAUCUGUACCCUAUGAUUCAACUAUGUACAUGAAAUGUAAAAUAGUACUGAAUUUCUGUGGCAUGUAGUAGCUAGGCCUGUUUUUUCAACCCAGGGACAUGUUUUCUUACAUUGCUGCUCUCUCUUUGUUUUUAAUGAAAAAUGUAAUGCUAAUAAUUUGUACAAUUCGGGGAAAAAGAAUGGAGAAAUAAAGUAAAUUAUUUUCAAAA